UCCUCUCUCUCUCUCUCUCUCUCUCUCUUUUGCAAAAACUUUUUCUCGCUCCUUGCCACCGGUGCGCCGCCGCUCACUUCCCGCUCACUCCCAACAUCCUUCCUUCAGGCCGUUCUAGAAGAUGAGAUCACCGAGGCGUCCUCUGUCCAUAAGGCACCUCUCCAGGGAACCUUCCUUCUCCAUCUCCAAAUUCUGGAGGCCGCGGCCACCUCCACUCGGCUCUCUUUAAGGCCUCUCGCGCCCUCUGCUGGUCGUCUGCGCACACGGCACUCCUCGGAAUCCGGUUGCUCCGGCGGACUUAAAUUUGACAGGUUCCCGGUGUGCAAGGCCCAGCUAGGAGCCCAGGGCGGGAGCUGCGGGAGCCCCAGGAAAGAAGGGCGCACCAGGGGAGAUUGCAGUCCCUGGAGGCAGGGCCUGACCCGGGAGUAGCCUGUCUCUUUGGAUUGGUGUUGCCGUGGUGACGGGGUCCAGGGAAGAGGGCAGCUAGCUCCGUUUCCCACCUGAGAGAGAAGCGUGGUGGGAGGAAAGCCGUCCUUUCCCUCAAACGGAUCUUUCCUGCCCUAGCGCUGCUCUAAGCCACCUUCUUGGGCCUGCAAGCUCCCGCCUCCAGGAUCCUGCCCUGCUUGAGUUCCUGUCCGGACUUCCUUCAGUGAUGAACAGCAACGCUGAAGUUUUCAGAGAGUGAGUCCAUGACCAUCACGGUGGAGAGCAUGGCAGCAGGCAGGCAUGAUGCUGGAGCAGUAGCUGAGAGCUGACAUCUUGAGAUACAACCAGGAGGCAAAGAGAGAGAGAGCCAACACGGAAGGAGAUGACCUGUGCUUCUGAAACCUCCAAGUCUGCCACAGAGACACAUCUCCUUCAACAAGGACACCGUUGUGGGGCAUUUGUCCCCACUGACACUCCAGGGCUUCUAAUAAAGCUAAACCUUGAAUCAGAGAGCAGAGUCGGUGUUUGACUGACUGGAAUUAGCCAUAGAUAUUUUGGAGGACCCACGGAGUUGGAUAGAGAGGUAUAGGAAGAGAUGAAGCGGGGCUUGGAGAGGUUUCUUGGGCUUUUCGAUCUGGGAAACAGAGAGAGUAGGGUCAGCCGAUCCUUCCUCCACGUUUUUUUAAUUUAUCAGGUUUUGAUCUUAAUUUAUGACUCCCGAGGUUUUCUUUUUUAUUAUUAUUAAUACUAGAACAAUUAAGGUAAAUGUAUUAGGACAUGCCUUCUAAUCCUUCCCAAACAGUUCCACCAACUGGGACCAAGUAUUCAAAUAGGCGACCCAUUGAGGGGCAUGCUGUGGGAUGUCUUUCUGUAUACUGUGGAUAUGUGUUGCCCUGAUUGGUUGACAAAUAUAGCUGCACUGGCCUAUGGCAGGGCAGGAUAAGGUUAGGUGGUACAUUGAAACUAAAGAUGAGAUGAAGAAGGAUGGAGUCGGGGGAGACGUCAGCCCACCACCCAAGGAGCAACAGGAUGCCAGCAGACCAGUAACACCACGGCCACGUGGCAGCAUACAGAUUAAUAGAAAUAGGUUGAGUUAAGUUAUAAGAGCUAGCUAAUGAGAAGCCUGAGCCAUAGGCCAUAUGAUUUGCAAUUCAUAUUAAAGCCUCUGAGUGGUUAUUUUAUAAGCGGCUGUGGGACCGUGGGACCGGGCAGGCCCAGAGAAACAUGGGACCCCGGGGCCAGGUGGGACCAGAGAAACUUAUGGCUACAUUUUGGCAACCAACAUGCUAGCAAGAAUUUCCACCCAAAACUUGAGAAAGCUUUAAAAAAGGUUCUAAAAUGGAACCAAGAGCAGCUUCCUAGUUGUAUCUCUCGGGCAGUCCGUGAUACAGAGAUGCCAUGGUGUGCAGGCUUGACCUACGGCAUGGUGGAUUCCCAUUGUGGUUCACAGAGGUGUCUCCAAGCCACACAGCACACUGUGUAGCAGAUUUAGCUUUUGCUAGUGCAGACAAAAAAUAAAUACCAUUGACACCUAUUCAGGAUGUCAAUGGGCAACUCCCAUGCAUUCUGAAAAGGCUGAUUCUGUGAUUACACACCUAUUAGAAGUUAUGGCCAUCAUGGGAAUACCUGUACAAAUUAAGACAGACAAUGCCCCAGCAUAUGUCUCCAAUAAAAUGAGACAGUUUUUUGCUUAUUACAAUAUAAAGCAUGUUACAGGUAUACCAUAGACCAAGCAGUCAUAGAAAGAUCCAAUCAAACUUUAAAGGAUAUGCUACAUAAACAGAAACAGGUAACAAUGACUCCUAGAAAUAGAUUGCAUAAUGCUUUAUUAACCUUGAAUUUUCUCAAUGCUGAUGGGAAAGGAAAAACAGCUGUGGAGAGACUUUGGAUGACAGAAAAAACUACUGAGCUAAACCAACCUGUUUACUUCAAAUGUGUGUUGACCUCGGAGUGGAAACCAGCGUAUGUAAAUGAAUUUCUAAAUGGUCUUAUUAAAUAAAAAACACAGAGCCAGAUAUAGGAGUGAAAGCCCGAGAGAGAUCAGGGAAAUAGGGAAAGCCACAGCUAACCAAAUCUUAUCAACUUGGCACCUUCCAAAUGCGAGCGACUUCCUGUCUGCCCAGGCCUGUAUGCCUUGCUGUUCUGCCAUCUGAUUUGCUCUCUCUGUCCAGCUACAUCACUUCCUCUUCCUGCCCAGCUCUGUCACUUCCUGUCUGUCUGUACAUACCUCCAGACCUCCAUGGUUAACUAGUGUUGGAAUUUAAGGCACGUGCCACCACACCUGGCUUUGUUUUCAGUGUGGCCUUGAACUCACAGAGAUCCAGACAGAUCCCUGUCUGCCAAGUGAUAGGAUUAAAGGCGUGCACUACCAUUGCCUGACUUCCGUGUUUACUUAUAAUGGCUAUUCCUAUUCCUCUGAUCUCCAGGCAAGCUUUAUUUAUUAAAGCACAAUAUCACCACAUUUCAGCACAAAUAAAAUAUCACCACAAGGAUGACGUCCUACAUUGGGGAAGGGGUUUUGCUUUUGUUUCUACAGGAGAAGAAAAGCUAUGGAUACCAACAAAAUUAACAAAAAUUUGCUUCGAACAGGAGAAACCCCUUGAUGAGGAGAAGUAAUAGCUCAUCCACCAAUGUGACAUCUCUACAAGUUGUAAGAAAAACUCAACAAACAAGGAUUGGGGCAACUUUCUGUUUUUUGUCUUUACAGGAUAAUAGAAAUACCCAUCUUUAAGAAAUCAUAAGGCCAAAGCCGGGCGGUGGUGGCGCACGCCUUUAAUCCCAGCACUCGGGAGGCAGAGCCAGGUGGAUCUCUGUGAGUUCGAGGCCAGCCUGGUCUACAGAGU